rnacentral:rRNA from 1 species
AUUGAACGCUGGCGGAAUGCUUUACACAUGCAAGUCGAACGGCAGCACGAGGGCAACCUUGGUGGCGAGUGGCGAACGGGUGAGUAAUACAUCGGAACGUGCCCAGUCGUGGGGGAUAACGUAGCGAAAGCUACGCUAAUACCGCAUACGAUCUAUGGAUGAAAGCGGGGGACCGUAAGGCCUCGCGCGAUUGGAGCGGCCGAUGGCAGAUUAGGUAGUUGGUGGGGUAAAGGCUCACCAAGCCUGCGAUCUGUAGCUGGUCUGAGAGGACGACCAGCCACACUGGAACUGAGACACGGUCCAGACUCCUACGGGAGGCAGCAGUGGGGAAUUUUGGACAAUGGGCGUAAGCCUGAUCCAGCCAUUCCGCGUGCAGGAUGAAGGCCUUCGGUCGUAAC